AAGACUAUACUUCACAGGAUCAUUUCUGUAGUAAGUCUUCACCAAUUAGGUUUCCAACUCGGAAACUCAAUACAGCCACGAUGAUGAGGUGAGCGCCUUGGCUGGAGCGUGAAAAGGGUCCAGGAGAUGCACCCCGGUGUGACUCUUGGAUCAUUGAGGAUCGUCAGCCUCGAGAAUUUCUCGGGGUGAGGUCAAGGCGCAUGCUGAGUGGU
rfam:Lutzomyia longipalpis Contig26314, whole genome shotgun sequence.